GCGGGUGUGGCGGAAUUGGCAGACGCGCUGGACUCAGGAUCCAGUGGCCUUUUGGCCGUGAGGGUUCAACUCCCUCCACCCGCACCA
rnacentral:tRNA from 1 species